rnacentral:rRNA from 1 species
UACGUAGGGGGCAAGCGUUGUCCGGAUUUAUUGGGCGUAAAGAGCGUGUAGGCGGCUUGGUAGGUCUCGCGUCAAAACCUGAGGCUCAACCUCAGUUCGCGUGGGAAACCACCUAGCUAGAGUCCGGAAGAGGAGAACGGAAUUCCCAGUGUAGCGGUGAAAUGCGCAGAUAUUGGGAAGAACACCGGUGGCGAAGGCGGCAUCCUGGACCAAUACUGACGCUGAGGCGCGAAAGCUAGGGGAGCAAACGGG